rnacentral:rRNA from 1 species
AGUGAACGCUGGCGGUAGGCCUAACACAUGCAAGUCGAACGGCAGCACAGUAAGAGCUUGCUCUUACGGGUGGCGAGUGGCGGACGGGUGAGGAAUACAUCGGAAUCUACUUUUUCGUGGGGGAUAACGUAGGGAAACUUACGCUAAUACCGCAUACGACCUACGGGUGAAAGCAGGGGAUCUUCGGACCUUUCGCGAUUGAAUGAGCCGAUGUCGGAUUAGCUAGUUGGCGGGGUAAAGGCCCACCAAGGCGACGAUCCGUAGCUGGUCUGAGAGGAUGAUCGGCCACACUGGAACUUAGACACGGUCCAGACGCCUACGGGAGGCAGCAGUGGGGAAUAUUGGACAAUGGGCGCAAGCCUGAUCCAGCCAUACCGCGUGGGUGAAGAAGGCCUUCGGGUUGUAAAGCCCUUUUGUUGGGAAAGAAAAGCAGUAGGUUAAUACCCCGCUGUUCUGACGGUACCCAAAGAAUAAGCACCGGCUAACUUCGUG